AGCGAACGCUGGCGGCAGGCCUAACACAUGCAAGUCGAACGAACUCUUCGGAGUUAGUGGCGGACGGGUGAGUAACACGUGGGAACGUGCCUUUUGGUUCGGAAUAACUCAGGGAAACUUGUGCUAAUACCGAAUGUGCCCUUCGGGGGAAAGAUUUAUCGCCAUUAGAGCGGCCCGCGUCUGAUUAGCUAGUUGGUGAGGUAACGGCUCACCAAGGCGACGAUCAGUAGCUGGUCUGAGAGGAUGACCAGCCACACUGGGACUGAGACACGGCCCAGACUCCUACGGGAGGCAGCAGUGGGGAAUCUUGCGCAAUGGGCGAAAGCCUGACGCAGCCAUGCCGCGUGAACGAUGAAGGUCUUAGGAUUGUAAAAUUCUUUCACCGGGGACGAUAAUGACGGUACCCGGAGAAGAAGCCCCGGCUAACUUCGUG
rnacentral:rRNA from 1 species